AUUUAUAUAGUUUAAUUAAAACUUUACAUUUUCAUUGUAAAAAUAAAAAAACUUAUUUUUUUUUAUAAAUA
rnacentral:tRNA from 1 species